rnacentral:lncRNA from 1 species
AGUGACUUGCUAAAACUGGAACCCAAAACAAUGGGAGUGAUGUGCUAAAACCGGAAAUGAAAACAAUGGGAGUGAUGUGCUAAAACCGGAACCCAAAACAAUGGUAACUAAGAGUGAUGCUAAGGCCCUACAUUUUGGUCACACUCUCAACUAAGUGAGAACUUGACUGAAAAGGAGGACUUUUUUUUUCUAAUACAGAGUCUUGGUCUGUCCCCCAGAGUGGAGUGCAGUGGCACAAUCUUGGCUCACUGCAAGCUCUGCCUCCCAGGUUCAGGCCAUU